UACGUAGGGGGCGAGCGUUGUCCGGAGUUACUGGGCGUAAAGCGCACGCAGGCGGUCUGCUAAGUUUGGAGUGACAGUUGGUGGCUUAACUGCCAAAGUGCUUCGAAAACUGACAGACUUGAGGGCUUCAGAGGGACACGGAAUUCCGGGUGGAGUGGUGAAAUGCGUAGAGAUCCGGAGGAACACCAAAGGCGAAGGCAGUGUCCUGGGGAGUACCUGACGCUCAGGUGCGAAAGCUAGGGGAGCGAACGGG
rnacentral:rRNA from 1 species